UUGACUUCAGAAAGAUAACACUCCACACUGCUUCAAUGGGGCGAUCACCAUGCUGUGAGAAGAUUGGCCUGAAGAAAGGUCCAUGGACGCCGGAGGAGGAUCAGAAGCUGCUUGCCUACAUUGAGGAGCAUGGGCAUGGGAGCUGGCGAGCGUUGCCUGCAAAGGCAGGCUUGCAGAGGUGCGGGAAGAGCUGCAGAUUGAGGUGGACAAACUACCUGAGGCCAGACAUCAAGAGGGGCAAGUUCAGCUUGCAGGAAGAGCAGACCAUCAUCCAGCUUCAUGCUCUUCUUGGUAACAGAUGGUCAGCCAUCGCAACACAUCUACCAAAGCGCACGGACAAUGAGAUCAAGAACUACUGGAACACCCACCUCAAGAAGAGGCUGGCCAAGAUGGGGAUCGACCCUGUCACCCACAAAUCUAUCAGUGGCACUCUCACUGGCACCGCAGACGACAAAUCAGCCAAGGUUGCGGCAAGCCUCAGCCACAUGGCUCAGUGGGAGAGCGCCCGCCUCGAAGCUGAGGCACGGCUGGCUCGAGAGUCUAAGAUGCGAACAGCAGCGCCGACACCAACCACACUCCAUGGGCAGCAAACGAAUGUACCUGCCUCCACUGCUUCUCCAUGCCUUGACGUGUUGCAUGCAUGGCAGGGUGCAAAGAUAGACCUGGAGUCACCUACCUCCACACUGACGUUUACAGGGAGCAAUAGUGGCAUGCUGCCAACCCCCAGGACCAACAGACUAGAGGUAUCAGAAAGCAACUCUGUGAUGUGGGAGAGGAGUGAUGAACUGGAGGGUGAAGAAAGCGAUUGGCAGUUCUACAGCAGGCACCAAGUGCUGGGACUGGAAGGCAAGGAGAGGGAAGAGGACUUCAUUGGCUGUGAAGAGCCGUGGUUCUCAGGAAUGGCUGGGGUUGGAGCUGGCUUCACAGGCAUGCUGCUUGAUGGAUCCAAUGAGCAUGACGCAUCAGAAUGCUGGGGUGAGUCCAGCAAUGGCCAAACUGAGCACAGCAACCAAGCAUCAGAUGAGGAGGACAAGAAUUAUUGGAAUGGUGUCCUCGGCAUGGUGAACUCAGAGCUGCCACCCCAGUCACCCCCAUCCCCAUUGGUCUAGAAUAUACGGCUUCUGACCGAAAUCUAUUGGGUCAUCAGAAGUCAAAAGGGAAACAGAAAGAGCGCUACAAAUAAAUGCUACAACUGCUGCAACAGCAUUCAAGGCGGAACGUCACCACUUGAAAAAACAUCAGGUACGAGCUAUUGAAUUUGGUGCAAAAGAACCAGCAAAAACUAAGGGUACAACCGUUUAUACAAGUCGACACUGUUACGGAAACCAUUCGUGCAUCACCAUGCCAGAUUUAGAUAAAUAAGAGUCCUAGCCGGUUGUAUUUGUUUAUAGAAGGUGCAAGUAUUAUUAGCAUGUUAUCUCUUUCUAUCUUUAGGAAGUCUAAGAGUCCUAGCCAGUCUGUUAGUCCAUGAUGUGUUAGUUAGCUGUUGCACAAAAGCUAUUAUGGCAUUCCAAGGGGUCCUCCACAUGAAUCGAUCUAGUAAGGGGCUUUGCCCACCAAA